CCUACGGGAGGCAGCAGUAGGGAAUCUUCCACAAUGGGCGCAAGCCUGAUGGAGCAACACCGCGUGAGUGAAGAAGGGUUUCGGCUCGUAAAGCUCUGUUGUUGGAGAAGAACGUGCGUGUGCGUAACUGUUCACGCAGUGACGGCAUCCAACCAGCAAGUGACGGCUAACUACGUGCCAGCAGGCGCGGGAAUACGUCGGGGGCAAGCGUUAUCCGGAUUUAUUGGGCGUAAAGGGAGCGCAGGCGGUUCGUUAGGUCUGAUGUGAAAGCCUUCGGCUUAACCGAAGAAGUGCAUCGGAAACCGGGGAACUAGAGUGCAGAAGAGGACAGUGGAACUCCAAGUGUAGCGGUGGAAUGCGUAGAUAUAUGGAAGAACACCAGUGGCGAAGGCGGCUGUCUGGUCUGCAACUGACGCUGAGGCUCGAAAGCAUGGGUAGCGAACAGGAUUAGAUACCCCAGUAGUC
rnacentral:rRNA from 1 species